rnacentral:rRNA from 1 species
CGUGCUUAACACAUGCAAGUCGAACGGAAAGGCCCUGCUUUUGUGGGGUGCUCGAGUGGCGAACGGGUGAGUAACACGUGAGUAACCUGCCCUUGACUUUGGGAUAACUUCAGGAAACUGGGGCUAAUACCGGAUAGGAGCUCCUGCUGCAUGGUGGGGGUUGGAAAGUUUCGGCGGUUGGGGAUGGACUCGCGGCUUAUCAGCUUGUUGGUGGGGUAGUGGCUUACCAAGGCUUUGACGGGUAGCCGGCCUGAGAGGGUGACCGGCCACAUUGGGACUGAGAUACGGCCCAGACUCCUACGGGAGGCAGCAGUGGGGAAUAUUGCACAAUGGGCGGAAGCCUGAUGCAGCAACGCCGCGUGCGGGAUGACGGCCUUCGGGUUGUAAACCGCUUUCGCCUGUGACGAAGCGUGAGUGACGGUAAUGGGUAAAGAAGCACCGGCUAACUACGUGCCAGCAGCCGCGGUGAUACGUAGGGUGCGAGCGUUGUCCGGAUUUAUUGGGCGUAAAGGGCUCGUAGGUGGUUGAUCGCGUCGGAAGUGUAAUCUUGGGGCUUAACCCUGAGCGUGCUUUCGAUACGGGUUGACUUGAGGAAGGUAGGGGAGAAUGGAAUUCCUGGUGGAGCGGUGGAAUGCGCAGAUAUCAGGAGGAACACCAGUGGCGAAGGCGGUUCUCUGGGGCCUUUCCUGACGCUGAGGAGCGAAAGCGUGGGGAGCGAACAGGCUUAGAUACCCUGGUAGUCCACGCUGUAAACGGUGGGUACUAGGUGUGGGGUCCAUUCCACGGGUUCCGCGCCGUAGCUAACGCUUUAAGUACCCCGCCUGGGGAGUACGGCCGCAAGGCUAAAACUCAAAGGAAUUGACGGGGCCCCGCACAAGCGGCGGAGCAUGCGGAUUAAUUCGAUGCAACGCGUAGAACCUUACCUGGGUUUGACAUGGAUCGGGAGUGCUCAGAGAUGGGUGUGCCUCUUUUGGGGUCGGUUCACAGGUGGUGCAUGCCUGUCGUCAGCUCGUGUCGUGAGAUGUUGGGUUAAGUCCCGCAACGAGCGCAACCCUUGUUCACUGUUGCCAGCACGUUAUGGUGGGGACUCAGUGGAGACCGCCGGGGUCAACUCGGAGGAAGGUGGGGAUGACGUCAAGUCAUCAUGCCCCUUAUGUCCAGGGCUUCACGCAUGCUACAAUGGCUGGUACAGAGAGUGGCGAGCCUGUGAGGGUGAGCGAAUCUCGGAAAGCCGGUCUCAGUUCGGAUUGGGGUCUGCAACUCGACCUCAUGAAGUCGGAGUCGCUAGUAAUCGCAGAUCAGCAACGCUGCGGUGAAUACGUUCCCGGGGCUUGUACACACCGCCCGUCAAGUCAUGAAAGUUGGUAACACCCGAAGCCGGUGGCCUAACCGUUGUGGGGGAGCCGUCGAAGGUGGGACUGGUGAUUAGGACUAAGUCAUAACA